rnacentral:rRNA from 1 species
GACGAACGCUGGCGGCGUGCUUAACACAUGCAAGUCGAACGGUAAGGCCUUUCGGGGUACACGAGUGGCGAACGGGUGAGUAACACGUGGGUGAUCUGCCCUGCACUUCGGGAUAAGCCCGGGAAACUGGGUCUAAUACCGGAUAGGACUGCGCGGUGCAUGCCGUGUGGUGGAAAGAUUUAUCGGUGCAGGAUGGGCCCGCGGCCUAUCAGCUUGUUGGUGGGGUAAUGGCCUACCAAGGCGACGACGGGUAGCCGGCCUGAGAGGGCGACCGGCCACACUGGGACUGAGACACGGCCCAGACUCCUACGGGAGGCAGCAGUGGGGAAUAUUGCACAAUGGGCGCAAGCCUGAUGCAGUGACGCCGCGUGAGGGAUGACGGCCUUCGGGUUGUAAACCUCUUUCAGCAGGGACGAAGCGUGAGUGACGGUACCUGCAGAAGAAGCACCGGCCAACUACGUG